GUGCUUGCUUCCGCAGCACAUCUACUAAAACUGGACAAUACAGAGAAGACAAAAUGGCCUGUGCCGAAAGAUGACAUGCAAAUUCGUGAAGAGUUCCAUAGUUUU